ensembl:lncRNA
GGGGAGAGGAGAGAGACGGGGGAGAGGUGAGAGACGGAGGAGAGGAGAGAGACGGAGGAGAGGUGAGAGACGGGGGAGAGGAGAGAGACGGAGGAGAGGUGAGAGACGGAGGAGAGGUGAGAGACGGAGGAGAGGUGAGAGACGGAGGAGAGGUGAGAGACGGAGGAGAGGGGAGAGAGACGGAGGAGAGGUGAGGCACGGGGGAGAGGAGAGAGACGGAGGAGAGGAGAGAGACGGAGGAGAGGAGAGAGACGGGGGGAGAGGUGAGAGACGGAGGAGAGGUGAGAGACGGAGGAGAGGUGAGAGACGGGGGAGUGGUGAGAGACGGGGGAGAGGAGAGAGACGGAGGAGAGGAGAGAGACGGAGGAGAGGAGAGAGACGGAGGAGAAGUGAGAGACGGAGGAGAGGUGAGAGACGGGGGAGUGGAGAGAGACGGGGGAGAGGAGAGAGACGGAGGAGAGGAGAGAGACGGAGGAGAAGUGAGAGACGGGGGAGAGGAGAGAGACGGAGGAGAUGUGAGAGACGGGGGAGAGGAGAGAGACGGAGGAGAGGAGAGAGACGGAGGAGAGUAGAGAGACGGAGGAGAGGAGAGAGACGGAGGAGAGUAGAGAGAUGGAGGAGAGGAGAGAGAGAGGAGAGGAGAGAGACGGAGGAGAGGAGAGGAGAGAGACGGGGAGAGGAGAGAGACGGAGGAGAGGUGAGAGACGGAGGAGAGGUGAGAGACGGAGGAGAGGAGAGAGACGGAGGAGAGGGGAGAGACGGGAGAGGAGAGAGACGGAGGAGAGGAGAGAGAUGGAGGAGAGGUGAGAGACGGGGGAGAGGAGAGAGACGGGGGAGAGGAGAGAGACGGAGGAGAGGUGAGAGACGGAGGAGAGGUGAGAGACGGAGGAGAGGAGAGAGAUGGAGGAGAGGUGAGAGACGGGGGAGAGGAGAGAGACAGGGGAGAGGAGAGAGACGGAGGAGAGGUGAGAGACGGGGGAGAGGAGAGAGA